rnacentral:rRNA from 1 species
UAGAGUUUGAUCCUGGCUCAGGAUUAACGCUAGCGGCAGGCAUAAUACAUGCAAGUUGAACGGGAUCAGUUGUAGCAAUACGACUGUGAGAGUAGCGCACGGGUGCGUAACACGUAUGGAAUCUGCCCCUAUCUGUGGAAUAGCCCCUCGAAAGAGGGAUUAAUACCACAUAAUAUAGCGAAUAGGCAUCUAUUUGUUAUCAAAGCUCAGGCGGAUAGGGAUGACCAUGCGGCUGAUUAGCUAGUUGGUGAGGUAACGGCUCACCAAGGCUACGAUCAGUAGGGGGUCUGAGAGGAUGUCCCCCCACACUGGUACUGAGACACGGACCAGACUCCUACGGGAGGCAGCAGUAGGGAAUAUUGGUCAAUGGGCGCAAGCCUGAACCAGCCAUGCCGCGUGCAGGAUGAAGGCCCUAUGGGUCGUAAACUGCUUCUGUACGGGAAGAAAUCUCAUUACGUGUAAUGAGUUGACGGUACCGUGAGAAUAAGGAUCGGCUAACUUCGUGCCAGCAGCCGCGGUAAUACGAAGGAUCCAAGCGUUGUCCGGAUUUACUGGGUUUAAAGGGUGCGUAGGCGGAUGAUUAAGUCAGUGGU